rnacentral:rRNA from 1 species
AAAGCUGGCCCUUUCAGGGUCCGCGUUGUAAUUUGUAGAGGAUGCUUCGGGCGCGGCGCUGGUCUAAGUUCUUUGGAACAAGACGUCAUAGAGGGUGAGAAUCCCGUAUGUGACUAGCUGCCUGUGCCUGUGUGAAGCUCCUUCGACGAGUCGAGUUGUUUGGGAAUGCAGCUCAAAAUGGGUGGUGUACUUCAUCUAAAGCUAAAUAUUGGCCAGAGACCGAUAGCGCACAAGUAGAGUGAUCGAAAGAUGAAAAGCACUUUGGAAAGAGAGUUAAACAGUACGUGAAAUUGUUGAAAGGGAAGCGCUUGCAAUCAGACUUGCGCGGCGUCGAUCAGCCUGGGUUCUCCCUGGUGCACUCGGCGCUGCUCAGGCCAGCAUCAGUUUCAGCGGUUGGAUAAAGGCCUAGGGAACGUGGGUUACUUCGGUGACUGUUAUAGCCCUAGGUGCAAUGCAGCCUGUUGGGACUGAGGACCGCGCUUCGGCUAGGAUGCUGGCGUAAUGGUUGUAAGCGACCCGUCUUGAAACACGGACCAAGGAGUCUAACAUCUAUGCGAGUUUUUGGGUGUCAAACCCAUAAGCGUAAUGAAAGUGAACGGAGGUGAGAACCCUUAAGGGUGCAUCAUCGACCGAUCCUGAUGUCUUCGGAUGGAUUUGAGUAAGAGCAUAGCUGUUGGGACCCGAAAGAUGGUGAUCUAUACUUGAAUAGGGUGAAGCCAGAGGAAACUCUGGUGGAGGCUCGCAGCGGUUCUGACGUGCAAAUCGAUCGUCAAAUUUGGG